rnacentral:rRNA from 1 species
UGGAGUAAUGUCUGGGAAACUGCCUGAUGGAGGGGGAGUAACUACUGGAAACGGUAGCUAAUACCGCAUAACGUCGCAAGACCAAGAGGGGGACCUUCGGGCCUCUUGCCAUCGGAUGUGCCCAGAUGGGAUUAGCUAGUAGGUGGGGUAACGGCUCACCUAGGCGACGAUCCCUAGCUGGUCUGAGAGGAUGACCAGUCACACUGGAACUGAGACACGGUCCAGACUCCUACGGGAGGCAGCAUG